CCUUCAAUAGCUCAGUUGGUAGAGCGGAGGACUGUAGAUCCUUAGGUCGCUGGUUCAAUUCCGGCUCGAAGGA
rnacentral:tRNA from 1 species